CCUACGGGUGGCUGCAGUGAGGAAUAUUGGUCAAUGGGCGCGAGCCUGAACCAGCCAAGUAGCGUGAAGGAUGACUGCCCUACGGGUUGUAAACUUCUUUUAUAAAGGAAUAAAGUGAGGCACGUGUGCCUUUUUGUAUGUACUUUAUGAAUAAGGAUCGGCUAACUCCGUGCCAGCAGCCGCGGUAAUACGGAGGAUCCGAGCGUUAUCCGGAUUUAUUGGGUUUAAAGGGAGCGUAGAUGGGUUGUUAAGUCAGUUGUGAAAGUUUGCGGCUCAACGUGGGAACUGCCUUUGAAACUGGCAAACUGGAGUGUGUGAGAGGAUAGUGGAAUUCCAGGUGUAGGAGUGAAAUCCGUAGAUAUCUGGAGGAACAUCAGUGGCGAAGGCGACUAUCUGGCACAUAACUGACGCUGAGGAGCGAAAGCGUGGGUAGCAAACAGGAUUAGAUACCCGGGUAGUC
rnacentral:rRNA from 1 species